rfam:Chelonia mydas contig216298, whole genome shotgun sequence.
GCCCGGAUAGCUCAGUCAGCAGAGCAUCAGACUUUUAAUCUGAGGGUCCAGGGUUCAAGUCCCUGUUCGGGUG